rfam:Bacillus cereus Rock3-44 chromosome, whole genome shotgun sequence.
AAGCCCUUUUAAAUGUAGUCCUGUGAGGCUGCCAAAGGGUCUUGGCUUUCAUAUGUCAAAUUUGGCAUACGAAAGUAUAGGACUCUUUGUGCAUAGUCACAAAGAGUUUUUUUAU